GCCUUGCCAGCCCGCUCAGAAACUUAAAGGAAUUGACGGGGGCCCGCACAAGCGGAGGAACAUGUGGUUUAAUUCGAUGAUACGCGAGGAACCUUACCUGGGCUAGAACGCAUUCGGAAUCAGGCCGAAAGGCCUGCGCCAGCGAUGGCCGCUUGCGAGGUGCUGCAUGGUUGUCGUCAGCUCGUGCCGUGAGGUGUCGGGGUUAAGUCCCCAUAACGAGCGCAACCCCUACUGCUAGUUGCCAGCGGGUCAUGCCGGGGACUCUAGCGGAACUGCCAGCGUAAGCUGCGAGGAAGGUGGGGAUGACGUCAAAUCAGCACGGCCCUUACGUCCAGGGCUACACACGUGUUACAAUGGCCGGUACAGAGGGCAGCCACCCCGCGAGGGGGCGCGAAUCCCGAAAGCCGGUCCCAGUUCGGAUCGGAGUCUGCAACCCGACUCCGUGAAGCUGGAUUCGCUAGUAAUCGCGCAUCAGCCACGGCGCGGUGAAUACGUUCCCGGGCCUU
rnacentral:rRNA from 1 species